UCAAUCUCGUGCGGCUAUACGCCGCUCGUCCCUCUAAGAAGUUAGCGCCGGCGGUCUUUCGAGCGCGACCGGCGAACUAUUUAACAGGCUAGAGUCUCGUUCGUUAU
rnacentral:rRNA from 1 species